rnacentral:rRNA from 1 species
UCCGGGCUCAGGAGGAACGCUAGCUUCCAGCUUAACCACAUGCAAGUGGAGGGGAAACGACAUCGAAAGCUGCUUUUGAUGGGCGUCGACCGGCGCACGGGUGAGUAACGCGUAUCCAACCUGCCCACCAUUUGGGGAUAACCUUGCGAAAGUAAGACUAAUACCCAAUGAUAUCCCACGAAGGCAUCCGAAUGAGAUUAAAGAUUUAUCGGUGAUGGAUGGGGAUGCGCCUGAUUAGCUUGUUGGCGGGGUAACGGCCCACCAAGGCGUCGACGGGUAGCCGGCCUGAGAGGGUGUACGGCCACAUUGGGACUGAGAUACGGCCCAGACUCCUACGGGAGGCAGCAGUGGGGAAUAUUGCACAAUGGGCGGAAGCCUGAUGCAGCGACGCCGCGUGGGGGAUGACGGCCUUCGGGUUGUAAACUCCUUUCGCUAGGGACGAAGCUUUUGUGACGGUACCUAGAUAAGAAGCACCGGCUAACUACGUGCCAGCAGCCGCGGUAAUACGUAGGGUGCAAGCGUUGUCCGGAAUUACUGGGCGUAAAGAGCUCGUAGGUGGUUUGUCGCGUCGUCUGUGGAAGUCCGGGGCUUAACUUCGGGAGUGCAGGCGAUACGGGCAUAACUUGAGUGCUGUAGGGGAGACUGGAAUUCCUGGUGUAGCGGUGAAAUGCGCAGAUAUCAGGAGGAACACCGAUGGCGAAGGCAGGUCUCUGGGCAGUAACUGACGCUGAGGAGCGAAAGCAUGGGUAGCGAACAGGAUUAGAUACCCUGGUAGUCCGCACAGUAAACGAUG